CGGCGGACGGGUGAGUAACACGUGGAUAACCUACCUAUAAGACUGGGAUAACUUCGGGAAACCGGAGCUAAUACCGGAUAAUAUAUUGAACCGCAUGGUUCAAUGGUGAAAGACGGUUUUGCUGUCACUUAUAGAUGGAUCCGCGCCGCAUUAGCUAGUUAGUAAGGUAACGGCUUACCAAGGCAACGAUGCGUAGCCGACCUGAGAGGGUGAUCGGCCACACUGGAACUGAGACACGGUCCAGACUCCUACGGGAGGCAGCAGCG
rnacentral:rRNA from 1 species